rnacentral:ncRNA from 2 species
UUGUUAUCAAGAAAGGUGGAGGGAAUAGACCCUUUGAAACCUUAGCAACCCUUUGCCCCAAUAUGCAAUGAAGGUGCUAAAUUCUAUUCGAAAAGGAGAUCAUCA